rnacentral:rRNA from 1 species
CUGCUGCCUUCCGUAGGAGUUUGGGCCGUGUCUCAGUCCCAAUGUGGCCGAUCAACCUCUCAGUUCGGCUACGCAUCAUUGCCUUGGCAAGCCUUUACCCCACCAACUAGCUAAUGCGCCGCGGGCCCAUCCAAAAGCGGUAGCAUAGCCACCUUUUACAUAGUUACCAUGCGGUAACUAUGGUUAUGCGGUAUUAGCACCUGUUUCCAAGUGUUAUCCCCCUCUUUUGGGCAGGUUGCCCACGUGUUACUCACCCGUUCG